rnacentral:tRNA from 1 species
GUUCUUAUAGUUGAAACACAACGGUGAUUUUUCAUGUCACUAGUCAUGGUCAGAUUCCAUGUAGGAAUA